UGGGUCGAGCUGGAUUUGAACCAGCGUCGGCAUAUUGCACAACGAAUUUACAGUCCGUCCCCAUGAACCACUCGGGCAUCGACCC
rnacentral:tRNA from 1 species